AGCGAACGCUGGCGGCAGGCUUAACACAUGCAAGUCGAACGCCCCGCAAGGGGAGUGGCAGACGGGUGAGUAACACGUGGGAACGUACCCUUUGGUUCGGAAUAACUUGGGGAAACUCAAGCUACUACCGGAUAAGCCCUUAUGGGGAAAGGUUUACUGCCGAAGGAUCGGCCCGCGUCUGUUUAUCUAGUUGGUGAGGUAAUGGCUCACCAAGGCGACGAUCAGUAGCUGGUCUGAGAGGAUGAUCAGCCACACUGGGACUGAGACACGGCCCAGACUCCUACGGGAGGCAGCAGUGGGGAAUAUUGGACAAUGGGGGCAACCCUGAUCCAGCCAUGCCGCGUGAGUGAUGAAGGCCUUAGGGUUGUAAAGCUCUUUUACCCGGGACGAUAAUGACUGUACCGGGAGAAUAAGCCCCGGCUAACUUCGUGCCAGCCGCCGCCGUAA
rnacentral:rRNA from 1 species